UACAGAGGUCUCAAGCGUUGUUCGGAAUCACUGGGCGUAAAGGGUGCGUAGGCUGUUCUUCAAGUCAGAUGUGAAAGACCGGAGCUCAACUCCGGAACUGCAUCCGAUACUGGGGAGCUAGAGGGCUCGAGGGGAGUGUGGAAUUCACGGUGUAGCAGUGAAAUGCGUAGAUAUCGUGAGGAACACCAGUGGCGAAGGCGACACUCUGGAGAGCAACUGACGCUGAGGCACGAAGGCCAGGGGAGCGAACGGG
rnacentral:rRNA from 1 species